rnacentral:lncRNA from 1 species
CAGGAUUGUCUGACAAUUACUGAGACGCUCUUGGGCUCCCUGGGCAAUAAAUUAUCUCAGGCUUUGGGCUGUUCCUGCAAGGAAUGAUUCCAAACUCAAGCUUUCUCUGUGAUCGGUAGGGGUUAUUCCUCCCGGCAGGGGGAGCUACACCGCCCUGCAAGGUCUUCCAGCACCAUGCCACUGGCUUUCCCAGAGAACAGGUAAACAACCAGCACCUAAACCCUCUUGCUUGAAGACUGAGAGCAAGAUGGCUCUCAUACCCACCCUUUCACUAGAGCUGACCAGAGAGGGCAGUGUUUCUUCCCCGUAACACACACUCAUGGUGGUCCCGCAGAGCUUUGACCUAACCAGGCUCUCUCUGGGGACAAUAAAACAUAGAUUGUUGCAUGUCCUUUCUUUUGGAGGAGCAUGUUUUGUAAGUUGUGGAAAUCUGUUCCUUCACAGACGGUGCGUGAUAUUGGGGAAUUCAUCUCAAGCCUUGGUUGCAAUACAAGCGGGAAUCAAGAAAAGACCCACCUUGCUCAAACGUGUCAUAAGAUAAAAAAUCUAAAAUCACCAGUGGCCUUCUGGAUGCAAGCACACAGAGAAAAUCAAAUACAGGGGCGCCUGGGUGGCUCAGUGGGUUAAAGCCUCUGCUUUCAGCUCAGGUCAUGAUCCUGGGGUCCUGGGAUCGAGCCCCACAUCGGGCUCUCUGCUUGGUGGAGGGCCUGCUUCCCCCUCUCUCUCUGCCUGCCUCUCUGCCUACUUAUGAUCUCUG